UGCAUCACAGAGGUCAUUGGAAGCAGAGAAUGUGGAGAAUGGAGUUGACAGUUGCGAUUCCCCAUGGCCGCGUGAACCAUGGUGUAACAUGACAUUCUCAUACUUGGUAUUUGCAGGUAGAAUAAAGAGGAGAAUGUCCCAAUUUCCAAGAGGCUGAGGAUCUUUGGUGCCCUUUCCUAAUACAUUUAGAGCCCUGGUCACUGGGUUUCACCAACUUCCUGUUCUUGGAGCCAUUCCUAUAAGGAGACACCAAAGGAUAGAACUACCAGUGGGUGUGAAGACCUGGAACCUUUUCUUUAAUAUUACCACCUUUCUGAUUUGAGCCAAGAAUGUGUCGUUAUUCCAAAACACACUCAGCAGUGAUGUGUUAGGUCUAUUCUGGUUUCUGCAUUGAUUCACAAUGAAUAAAAAUUAAGUUGGUACUAAA